UACGGAGGGGGGCUAGCGUUUGUUCGGAAUUACUGGGCGUAAAGCGCACGUAGGCGGCUUUGUAAGUUAGAGGUGAAAGCCCGGAGCUCAACUCCGGAAUUGCCUUUAAGACUGCAUCGCUUGAAUCAUGGAGAGGUGAGUGGAAUUCCGAGUGUAGAGGUGAAAUUCGUAGAUAUUCGGAAGAACACCAGUGGCGAAGGCGACUCACUGGACAUGUAUUUGACGCUGAGGUGCGAAAGCGUGGGGAGCAAACAGG
rnacentral:rRNA from 1 species